AUGGCGCUGCUGCUGCCGGGGUGUCUUUUCUGCCUCCUGGCGGCUCCCUUCUGUGUCCUCUCGCAGAUCCAGCUGGUCCCGUCCGCCCCGGGAGUGGUGAAGCCCGGAGAGUCCCUCACGGUGACUUGUGCAGUGUCGGGGGACUCCAUCGCUACCCGCGCCUGGUGGAACUGGGUGCGCGAACUCCCCGGCCGAGGGCUGCAAUGGGUGGGGCGCAUCCAUUUCUCCGGGAGCACGAACUACGCCCCCGGCCUGCAAACCCGAGCGAGCAUCAGCAAAGAUGACGCCAAGAACGAGUAUUACCUGCAGCUCCGCUCCCUGACCGCUGCGGACACCGCCACCUAUUACUGCACCAGAUAAAAGUUUUUGAGGGGAAACAGCCUAUUUCCCACCCAGCUCUGCUGGACUCAGACCCGUCUCCAUCUGGCCCAAUCCUCCUGCUAGUUCAGCCAAUGAAAACCAGAUUCUGCUCAUUUACACUGGUUCAAACCCUGCCUGACAUCACUGCUUUCUGCGGGACUAGUUCAGAUCUCCCUCCCUCCCUGCUGUCAUUGGGGGGGCGGGGCUGGAC